rnacentral:rRNA from 2 species
CGAAACGCCCGGUCCCAUUCCGAACCCGGAAGCUAAGCCCUCCAGCGCCGAUGGUACUGCACUCGACAGGGUGUGGGAGAGUAGGACACCGCCGAAC